rnacentral:rRNA from 1 species
GACGAACGCUGGCGGCGUGCCUAAUACAUGCAAGUUGAGCGCUGAAGGUUGGUACUUGUACCAACUGGAUGAGCAGCGAACGGGUGAGUAACGCGUGGGGAAUCUGCCUUUUAGCGGGGGACAACAUUUGGAAACGAAUGCUAAUACCGCAUAAAAACUUUAAACACAAGUUUUAAGUUUGAAAGAUGCAAUUGCAUCACUCAAAGAUGAUCCCGCGUUGUAUUAGCUAGUUGGUGAGGUAAAGGCUCACCAAGGCGAUGAUACAUAGCCGACCUGAGAGGGUGGUCGGCCACAUUGGGACUGAGACACGGCCCAAACUCCUACGGGAGGCAGCAGUAGGGAAUCUUCGGCAAUGGACGAAAGUCUGACCGAGCAACGCCGCGUGAGUGAAGAAGGUUUUCGGAUCGUAAAACUCUGUUGGUAGAGAAGAACGUUGGUGAGAGUGGAAAGCUCAUCAAGUGACGGUAACUACCCAGAAAGGGACGGCUAACUACGUG